rnacentral:misc_RNA from 1 species
UGAAUGCGAUAAGUAAUGUGAAUUGCAGAAUUCAGUGAAUCAGCGAAUCUUUGUACGCACCUUACGCCUUUUGGUAUUCCGAAAGGCACGCCUGUUUGAGAGUCAUGAAAUCACAAUCCCCCCGGGUUUUCUGAACCCGAGGUGGACUUGGACAUGGGUGUCUGCCGUCUCGUACGGCUCGCCUUAAAUGACUCAGUGGGAUCUUCAGCAUCCGUGGCAGACGUAAUAAGUUUCGUCUUGUCCCUUGCUGUUAGGACCGCUCAUAACCUUACAUCGCGCACCACUUUUGACUCUGACCUCAAAUCAGGUAGGACUACCCGCUGAACUUAA